rnacentral:rRNA from 1 species
UAGAGUUUGAUCCUGGCUCAGAUUGAACGCUGGCGGCAUGCUUUACACAUGCAAGUCGAACGGUAACAGGCCUUCGGGUGCUGACGAGUGGCGAACGGGUGAGUAAUGCAUCGGAACGUGCCCAGAGGUGGGGGAUAACGCAGCGAAAGCUGUGCUAAUACCGCAUGUGAUCUGAGGAUGAAAGCGGGGGACCAAGCAGCAAUGUUUGGCCUCGCGCCUCUGGAGCGGCCGAUGUCAGAUUAGGUAGUUGGUGGGGUAAAGGCCUACCAAGCCGACGAUCUGUAGCUGGUCUGAGAGGACGACCAGCCACACUGGGACUGAGACACGGCCCAGACUCCUACGGGAGGCAGCAGUGGGGAAUAUUGGACAAUGGGCGCAAGCCUGAUCCAGCCAUGCCGCGUGGGUGAAGAAGGCCUUCGGGUUGUAAAGCCCUUUUGUUGGGAAAGAAAAGCAGUCGGUUAAUACCCGAUUGUUCUGACGGUACCCAAAGAAUAAGCACCGGCUAACUUCGUGCCAGCAGCCGCGGUAAUACGAAGGGGGCUAGCGUUGCUCGGAAUCACUGGGCGUAAAGGGCGCGUAGGCGGCUCGUUUAGUCGGGUGUGAAAUCCCAAGGCUCAACCUUGGAACUGCAUUCGAUACUGGCGGGCUAGAGACCGGAAGAGGUGGGUGGAAUACCCAGUGUAGAGGUGAAAUUCGUA